rnacentral:rRNA from 1 species
GUCCUUUAGUUAUAAAUUUAAGGUCUAACCUGCCCAAUGAUAAAUUUAAUGGCCGCAGUAUUUUGACUGUGCUAAGGUAGCAUAAUCAUUAGUUUUUUAAUUGAAAGCUGGAAUGAAGGGUUGGAUGAAAAAAAGACUGUCUCUAUUUAAAUAUUAUAGAAUUUUAUUUUUAAGUUAAAAAGCUUAAAUAAUAUUAAAAGACGAGAAGACCCUAUAGAGUUUUAUAUUUUUAUUUAUUUUUUUAUUUAGAAUUUAAUUAAAAAUUUAUAAUUGAAUAUUUAAUUGGGGUGAUUGAAAAAUUUAUUAAACUUUUUUUAUAUUUGUAUAUUGAUAUAUAAAUUGUUGAUCCAAUGUUUUUGAUUAAAAGAAAAAAUUACCUUAGGGAUAACAGCGUAAUUUUAUUGGAGAGUUCAAAUUGAUAAUAAAGAUUGCGACCUCGAUGUUGGAUUAAAAUUAAUAAUUGGUGCAGAAGCUAUAUUAUUGAGUCUGUUCGACUUUUAAAAUUUUACA